rnacentral:tRNA from 1 species
GGGGAUUUAGCUCAGUGGUAGAGCGCUUGCCUAGCACGCACAAGGCCCUGGGUUCGGUCCCCAGCCCCG